rnacentral:rRNA from 1 species
GUCUCAGUUCGGAUUGGAGUCUGCAACCCGACUCCAUGAAGCUGGAUUCGCUAGUAAUCGCGCAUCAGCCACGGCGCGGUGAAUACGUUCCCGGGCCCUUGUACACACCGCCCGUCAAGCCAUGGAAGCCGGGGGUGCCUGAAGUGCGCUGCCGCAAGGAGCGUCCUAGGGUAAAACCGGUGACUGGGGCUAAGUCGUAACAAGGUACC